GGACCCGCACAAGCGGUGGAUGAUGUGGUUUAAUUCGACGCAACGCGAAAAACCUUACCUACCCUUGACAUGCCUGGAAUCCUGCAGAGAUGCGGGAGUGCUCGAAAGAGAGCCAGGACACAGGUGCUGCAUGGCCGUCGUCAGCUCGUGUCGUGAGAUGUUGGGUUAAGUCCCGCAACGAGCGCAACCCUUGCCAUUAGUUGCUACGAAAGGGCACUCUAAUGGGACUGCCGGUGACAAACCGGAGGAAGGUGGGGAUGACGUCAGGUCAUCAUGGCCCUUAUGGGUAGGGCUACACACGUCAUACAAUGGCCGGUACAGAGGGCUGCCAACCCGCGAGGGGGAGCCAAUCCCAGAAAACCGGUCGUAGUCCGGAUCGCAGUCUGCAACUCGACUGCGUGAAGUCGGAAUCGCUAGUAAUCGCGGAUCAGCGUGUCGCGGUGAAUACGUUCCCGGGUCUUGUACACACCGCCCGUCACACCAUGGGAGCGGGUUCUGCCAGAAGUAGGUAGCCUAACCGCAAGGAGGGCGCUUACCACGGCAGGGUUCGUGACUGGGGUGAAGUCGUAACAAGGUAGCCGUAUCGGAAGGUGCGGCU
rnacentral:rRNA from 1 species